GGGCGGGGCAGGAGCCUAGUUCCCUCUCUGCGGCCUGGAGACACGGUCGCUGCAGGAGGUGGGGCAGCAGUGGCUCCCCCCAGGAAUACACCCACUUCCUACCUAAGAUAUUGCUGCCAAACUGGACCACAAACUCUGGCUGAUCAAUCUCUUCCCGAAGAAUAUCCUGCAACUACUCUAAUAUCUAAAAUUGUAGGAAAGACAUUAUUAAAUUGAACGUGAGGAAGAUUUACCGGUUGAACUCCCACUCUCAGAUAUCCAGCAUUAUUGCCCAUGAAGUGUACCUUCAAAUGUUGGAAACUCAUGACCAAUAUGGAGAGCUGAAGGACAAAACAGUGAGCUGGAGUCCACAGGCACCCAUUCAGACUUUCAUGUUGGAAAUCGUUACUAUCUAGAUUCUCUCCACUACCUAGUAAAAUAUCAAACGAUAUGUAAACGAGAUGUGAUGAGAUAAUAACACAUAAUACCUGCAAAUAG